AGUGGCGGACGGGUGAGUAACGCGUGAGAAUCUGCCCUCAGGAGGGGGAUAACGGUUGGAAACGACCGCUAAUACCCCAUAUGCCGAGAGGUGAAAUGAAAUUCGCCUGAGGAUGAGCUCGCGUCUGAUUAGCUAGUUGGUAGGGUAAAGGCCUACCAAGGCACUGAUCAGUAGCUGGUCUGAGAGGAUGAUCAGCCACACUGGGACUGAGACACGGCCCAGACUCCUACGGGAGGCAGCAGUGGGGAAUUUUCCGCAAUGGGCGCAAGCUGACGGAGCAACGCCGCGUGAGGGAUGAAGGCCUCUGGGCUGUAAACCUCUUUUAUCAAGGAAGAAGAACUGACGGUACUUGAUGAAUAAGCCUCGGCUAAUUCC
rnacentral:rRNA from 1 species